GAUGAAGAACGCAGCGAAAUGCGAUAACUAAUGUGAAUUGCAGAAUUCAGUGAAUCAUCGAGUCUUUGAACGCACAUUGCGCCCCCUGGUAUUCCGGGGGGCAUGCCUGUCCGAGCGUCAUUGCUGCCCUCAAGCACGGCUUGUGUGUUGGGCUCCGUCCCCCCGGGGACGGGCCCGAAAGGCAGCGGCGGCACCGAGUCCGGUCCUCGAGCGUAUGGGGCUUUGUCACCCGCUCUGUAGGCCCGGCCGGCGCCAGCCGACAACCCAUCAUCCUUUUCAGGUUGACCUCGGAUCAGGUAGGGAUACCCGCUGAACUUAAGCAUAUCAAUGAGCGGAGGA
rnacentral:misc_RNA from 1 species